rnacentral:rRNA from 1 species
UGAACGCUGGCGGCGUGCUUAACACAUGCAAGUCGAACGAUGAAGCCUAGCUUGCUAGGUGGAUUAGUGGCGCACGGGUGAGUAAUAUAUAGAUAACGUGCCUCUUAGUCUGGGAUAGCCAUUGGAAACGAUGAUUAAUACUAGAUACUCCUUCUGAUUCUAAUUUCAGUCGGGAAAGUUUUUCGCUAAGAGAUCGGUCUAUUUCCCAUCAGUUAGUUGGUAGGGUAAAGGCCUACCAAGGCAAUGACGGGUAGCGGGUUUGAGAGGAUGAUCCGCCACACUGGUACUGAGACACGGUCCAGACUCCUACGGGAGGCAGCAGUGGGGAAUAUUGCACAAUGGACGAAAGUCUGAUGCAGCAACGCCGCGUGGAGGAUGACACAUUUCGGUGCGUAAACUCCUUUUAUAUAGGAAGAUAAUGACGGUACUAUAUGAAUAAGCACCGGCUAACUCC